UGUUGGGUUCCUGGGAGCCAUACUGUCAGCUUCAGGAGACUGUGUGCUUACCUGUGCCCUUAACCUUUGCUAAGCUACAGCCUCCUGCAACUCCAUUUCUAUCUGCAGCCGGGUUCUACCAAGUGUAUUCCCACAGAGCAGGUACGUCUUGGCUGAAGAUCCUUCAUUCCAUCCUGAGACCUGGGACUUCAAAGCACGUUGUCAUACAUCAGCCAUCUGGCAAAACAAGCAUGGCAAAGAGAUCUCUGGUCUCGCUGCAGGCACGAAUGCUGUUGUAACGACUCUUUCCAGGGUGAAUGUACCUUCUUCCCAAGUACAGUACGCUGCAGUAAAUAUGCUGAAAGCUGAUGGAAGUCCCAGCAACAGAGAAGUCACGGUGACCAAGUUGCUAGAUAUGUAGCUCUAGCACUUCUGCCACGUACCAAUAAAACAAACCAACAUGCUUCUGCAAAUUCAUAAGGAUGAUAACUACAGCUGAUUAUCUGACAGAGUAGAGCUCCCUAGUGUGGGAAAUGACAUGCUAUAUUAAUGAAAAUUGGAUGUCAUAAUAUGUCUUUCUGGAUCCAGUCUGCUUAUGUCUGAAACUGACAGGAACUCUUACACUGAUUUAAAUGACUGAAACCCUGGAACUCAUAGAAAACCUCAAGGACCAUGCACCCCACCUCAGUUGUCAGAAUCCUCUGGGAGAUACAACUGGAAAUGGAUGGAGUGAAUAGCAUGAGAAGGAAAGUAAGACAUCUUCAGGAGGUUAUGGUCAAUCAUCUCAUUAUUUGUAUAAUACAGUGUGUGAAAAAAAUAAAACCAAACAAAAACAAAAAAUAAAAACCUGUAUCUCAGGGGUAGUCCACGAGCUCAGUAGAAAACCAUCAUUCCAGGUUUGGAUUAGUAGUAACAGAGAGAAAAAGUUCUACAGGAGGCAAGUAAAUCCUAUUUUCUGCCCUAUUUUGUUUAACUUUUGGAAAAGAGAGCAGUAGUAAUCAUGGAGGAAUUACAAGAACUAGAAGUAGUCUGAUCUAGUGGGGUAGAAACAGCUGCCAGCAAAACUGAAGGAAGCUUUGCUCUGACAUACCCAGAACUCCACAUUAACCAGUCAAGGUAACUUAAGAUCUGGAUCGACUCCCAGAUAUGAGUUGCUAAACUACCUCUUACAUCACUAAUGCCUUUUUAUUUUUUUUUUUUCUUGAAUCAAUACCAAGAGCAGAGAAAUUUGAGGGAAGCACUAGCACAGUAGCAAUGCACUGUCAAGCCGGUGGUGCUAUGUAGCACAACAGCACUGCAGACAGCUGUGGUUCUGGAACAGUGAGACGAGUACAUAAUUUAAAAAUGACCAAUUUCAAGGGGUGUGACAGUUACACUCUAAGUUUGUUCUGGUUCUCAAGCUAUUACUGUAGUGUCCACUUUAACUAUGGAAAUUUCAUUUCUAAGUUAAGAAAUUACCUUUAGUGUGCACUCCCUGUGUUUAAAACAACUUGAAAUUACACAAUCUGCAUAUAGAUUUUAGACUGUCUGUAACUUGUCCUUCUAACUUUGUUCUUUACAAACAUUUCAAAUUACUGGUGCAGGGUGGGGUCCUUAGGAUGAAUUUGCCCUUUUUCAAAGUACUUCUAUACAAAACACCAACACAAAGUUUUAACACUUAACAGGUUUUGAAUUUGGGUUUUCUUACUGUUCUGUUUGUAACCCUGCUUUUGUUUUCAUUACCUUCAGAGACAUGUAUUUUUAAAAUAUAUUUUCCAGUGUGAAUUCAAUAUCUAACAUAUCCUUCUACAGGAGGAGCUGUAGACAGUGCAGCUCCUGCUGCAGAAACACACUGGGAGAAAGCAUACAAUGAAUAUGAUGAAUUGCACACAAAAUUAUGUCCCUUUGAUGACUUUGAAGUGUGUAAGAAAUACACUUCACAGAAAUAAAUCUAAGUGGGAGAAACGGCCCGUGGAAUGUCUCUACCCUACACACAGACACAUAUACACUACCAUGAAAAAGUCACUCAGAGAGCAUUGGUGCUGAGCACUAACUUACAUCAAUUAUCCAAGAUCCCCCAAAGAGCUGAGUCCUUAACUUGGGAGGUAUGUGACAAUCAGGAGUCUAGAAGACACUAGAUUUUGUCUCAGGGUGAACCCUUCUCUGGAUGUUGUUGUAUCCACCUUUCCAAGGGCAUGAUCCUCACAAAAUGCUUGGAAUGCCCUUCCCUUUGUACAGAUGAACUAGAACGAAGCAGCUUAAAUAUGACUCAUAGUUAUUAUUUAAGGAAUAGCACAAGGAGUCAUUCCUUGUGCUGGUGCUUGUGUAGUGUAUCUCAGGGCUGUAAAUCCACUACAACUGUACUGCUUAUUUUUCCCCUUCUUUACUAAUAGGCAGGGGAAGAAUUUGGACUUAAAGUGACAAGCAAAUUUGAAGAAAGCUGUAUAAUAACUGCAUGACUAUCAUAUUUUGAUUUUUCAAAUAAAAAAUGAGUUGAACCACCUUUCAUUUAGAGGACAAUGCUAUAAAACCAAGCACUGUAUGUCUUCACUAGUGACAGGGACCUAAAUGGUAAAGCAUUAAACAGUAUGUGAAAUCCAAGCCUUAUCAAAAUCAGUACCUUUCUCCCAUUGACUCUGAAGGAAGGAGGAUUUCAUUCCAGAAAUUAAAACUGUCAGUCAAGCAAUCUGAUUACAUGAGGAAAAGUAAACUAGAGGCAAUGAUUUCAUAAUGCUGAAUCUAGGCUGUUUAUAAAAAUUGCUUGAAAAAUUAUGUUAUGCUAUCUUUUCUAUAACAGCUUGCAAAUAAACAUCUAUUUUCUGAGGCUCAUGGUGAGAUUUGAAUUACAGUAGUUCAUGCUGAGCUUCACUUUGUUCCAGGAGUGGCACACAUGAUGCCUGUUUUUCCAGUGUUGUGAGGGUAUCUGAAUCUGGUCCUGUGAAAUCUCAGUUCAAAGCAAAUCCAGAUGGAUUAAAUCAAGAGUACUAUUAAAAUGUAGAGUGACUGGGGAAAAAUGAAGAGGGAAGAAAGAAGUUUGGAUUAUAAGACCGAAACAAAAGGUAUAUAUGGACAUAUAAAACAGUAAAAGACAAUUAGAAAAUAUAUUUAUACUAAAUUAAAACUUUAUUGACUAAUGUUCUCCAGACAACAUGAUCUGACGGACUAUGGUUGCAUACAUGCAAUGAAGUUGAACACAACAGUAGUUUAACAUGGAAUGUCAAACAAAUUAAUAUAAUGUAUUACAUGAAAACAUUUAUCGUGUUGCUGCAAAAUGAAACCAAGCUAUGUAUUUCCUUGGUCAAUCGGUGACUUCAGCUAAGAGGCUUUGCAUUUGAAGAAACUGGUAGAUUUCUUUAGCAUAUAUUUCAAAUAAAUUAGCUAGAAUUGUACUCUUUAAAAAUCUUUUCAACUUCACUUGCAUUUCAAACAAAAUCUCAGUGUAAACACUAAAGUUGCUAGAGCCAUCUAGAAAGACCUGUCAAACUCAGAGUGGACAUUACAGUUCAGUAAAUGUGACUAUUUAGAACAAGAAAAAUACCAGUUACUGCAAAAGUCAUGUAGGCAUAUCUUAUUAUUAAUCCAGCACAAAGCAUUUCUUCUAAGUUUCUCACAUAAAAGACUAAAGCUUGCUUACAGUACUACAUCUUCUAUCAUUCAAGCAUCAUUAUUACCUAUCAGGGAGAUUGGCUAGAUGACCUAAUGGGUCUUUUCCACCCCUACCUUCUACAAAAGAAAAUCAUUCAUGCCAGCAAGAACAUGGUUCGCUACAUCUUGGGCGUGAUCCUGUAGCCUUCGUUCAGGCAAAACUCUCACUGACAUAAAGGAGAGAUUUUCCAGAGCAAGACAUCCAGGAUUAAGCCCUUUUUAUUCUUUUAUUUUUAAAAAAAGCAUCCAUUUAGGAUACAUGGAAAAUAUAGAAUUAAAAAAAAUAUGACAUGUGCUUCACUUGCAUUGAAGGAAUCAGAGAAUGUAAACACCAUAGUGGCCCACAUUUUCACAAAAUCCAUGAGAAAGUGUCAGCUGCAAGUAAUCAGUGUGCAUUUAUUUCUCAACGUAUGCCUCCGAGAGUGUUUUGUAUAUACCUUUACCUCUACCUCCACACACAAAUGUACACCCUUAAUACACAUAAAGGUGUGACAAAAUUCACUAAAGGCAGUUGCUUGCCCAUCUUAAUGCUUAAAUCUGCUAAUGGCAGCAAACUGGGAUUUAUGUGACGCUAAUUAGACUGUACGUGAGCAGCAGGACACAAAUAUCUCUGUGGGCAAGAGAGUGUGGUUGCCGGUUCUACAAGUGUGAAGUCAUCCCACCUACGCACAUCACAAAAUCUACCUGCAUGAAGGGCUGGAAAAGCAGGUGACCAAAGUAUUUCUUGGUGGGCCAUGUCUGAAAUAUCAGCUGAAUGAUUCAAAGGCUGUAGAUUGUCCUCACAGGAGCCUUUCAGCAACCUGGAGGACCACAUAGGAAAGUUUACCUUCAAAGUGCACUUUCUAAGAAUGGAAUGUUCUUGACAGGGAAAUGAUCAGAGGCAAUCCUGGCCUUUUUUGCUGGUUGAAUAGGAAAAAUGUUUUCAUCUUCAGGCAGCACUUCACCCUGACAAAUGUGAGUUCAGUUAUUAUUGAGUUUUAGUAUUAAAGAAGAUUCUUUAGAAACAAACAUGAUAGCACACACAUACACUCAGAUAUUUACAGCCUUUCUAGAAAAACAACCCCCUACCUUAGUACUGACUACCUUUUUCCUUUUUUUUUCUCUUUUUUUUUAGUAUUUAAAUUCUUUAAACCAGCUACAUUAAAUACCAA